GCUGAGGAGUCCCACAAUAGGACGAAACGUUCGUCC
rnacentral:hammerhead_ribozyme from 1 species